UUAGCCUCACAAGUAUUAAAGGUCCCGCCUGCCCAGNGAAUAAUUUUUAACGGCCGCGGUAUCCUANCCGUGCAAAGGUAGCGUAAUCACUUGUCCCCUAAAUAGGGACCUGUAUGAACGGCUAACUGAGGGCACACCUGUCUCCUGGCGCCAACUAAUGAAACUGAUCUACUGGUACAAAAGCCAGAAUUACCUCACAAGACGAGAAGACCCUGUGGAGCUUUUAACACCCCCACUACUAGUNGCACCCUCCAACUACACGCACAACUAGCUAGCGGGCGGUUUAAG
rnacentral:rRNA from 1 species